rnacentral:rRNA from 1 species
GAUGAACGCUAGCUACAGGCUUAACACAUGCAAGUCGAGGGGAAACGACAUCGUAAGCUUGCUUUUGAUGGGCGUCGACCGGCGCACGGGUGAGUAACGCGUAUCCAACCUGCCCAUCACUUGGGAAUAACCUUGCGAAAGUAAGACUAAUACCCAAUGACAUCCCACGAAGACAUCUGAAUGGGAUUAAAGAUUUAUCGGUGAUGGAUGGCGAUGCGUCUGAUUAGCUUGUUGGCGGGGUAACGGCCCACCAAGGCAACGAUCAGUAGGGGUUCUGAGAGGAAGGUCCCCCACAUUGGAACUGAGACACGGUCGAAACUGCUACAGGAGGCAGCAGUGAGGAAUAUUGGUCAAUGGGCGAGAGCCUGAACCAGCCAAGUAGCGUGCAGGAAGACGGCCCUAUGGGUUGUAAACUGCUUUUAUAAGGGAAUAAAGUGGGUCUCGUGAGACUUUUUGCAUGUACCUUAUGAAUAAGGACCGGCUAAUUCCGUG